GGUCGGUUGGCCGAGGGGUUAGGCAAUGGUCUGCAAAACCACGCACAGCGGUUCGACUCCGCUACCGACCUC
rnacentral:tRNA from 1 species